CUUAUACUCCCUCCGUUCGGAAUUACUCGUCUAAGAAAUGAAUGUAUCUAGAUGUAUUUUAGUUGUAGAUACAUCCAUUUUUGUGACAAGUAAUUCCGAACGGAGGGAGUAGAAU
rnacentral:pre_miRNA from 1 species